rnacentral:pre_miRNA from 1 species
ACUAGAUAAUGAUGAUGAUGAUGAUGAUGAUGAUGAUGAUGAUCAUCAUCAUCAUCAUCAUCACCAUCAUCAUCAUUU